UUUAAUGCUUCGACAAAAAAAGCAUGCAAAAAUUUGCAGAAAGCUAAUUUUUGUAUGCAAAAUUUCUGGUUAAACUCAAAAACCCAUGGCUUUUUUUAAAGCAGAAAAUUUGACUCCAUAGUUUGCAGAUUGCUGGUUUUUCAACAUGUUGCAUGUGCACCUAGUAAUUGUACAAGUCAAAUAGCCAAACUGCUACAGUUACUGAAGACAGGUUUCAAGCAUUAUAUUCCUUGACAUAUGGCACAUUGUUCUUGCUUCCUUUCACUUUGUUUUCAAUUUAUUAAUGAACUAAAAGGCUAGGGAAUUCAUUCUCUUUAGGGAAAAACAAUAAGAAGAAAAACAGUGUAUCAAUUAUGGCAGAAUUUACAUGCUUCAAAAUCAUAUUGGAGUUGAAAUUUGCUUUCUUCUGAAAAAGAAGGCAUGGGUUGAAUGNUAUAUAUAUAUAUCAAGUGGACGAUCUCUUGCUAUAUUAACAGUUGUGAACCAGUGAACCUUUGUUGUCCUUUUGGAGGUUGCAAGUUUGAGAUUUCCUUCAUUCCAUCAAGACACAUUAAGUACUCAUCGUUUUGCCUUUUGAUAGUUGGUGAAGAUAGAUUAGAUAUUUUAACUUUUUUGUGUGCUUCUAGUUGCUCUUUGCUUUCUUUUUAGAGUCUAGUCUAGUUCUAAGACUUGCUAGUGAUAUCUCUAGAGCCGGAGGAAUAAAUGAAUUGUAUUGUUCCUAAGAAUAUGUGAUGUAUGUGAAACCUUUUGUACUUGUUUUGUAACUUCUCAUCAUUGUAAUUGUUGCCAACAAAUUUGAGUUGUAGCCAGGAGUUAGAUAUUCGAACAGUUUUUUUUAAAAGGAAUGAACAGUCCUCAUAAGUCAUAAGUUAACAUAUUUUAGCUUAUGUCUGACUCACCUUAAUAUCUUCUUUACAUCCUGUUCAAUUUUUUGCCAGAUUUUGAAAUGUCUGAAGCUCAACAAGAGCAUGCAUUGGCUAUAGAACAUCUUGUUCCUAGAAUAGCUGCUUUGAGCUCUGAGCUGUGCCCAAUUCAGAUGUCUGAAAAAUGCUUCUGGAAGAUCUAUUUUGUGCUUCUGCACUCUAGACUCAAUAAACAUGACGCUGAACUUCUCUCAACACCUCAGGUAAGUUCCUGACCUCUGAUUAAUUUUUUCCUUCUUUCAUGGCAUAUUUUCUUUUUGUCACCAUUUUUGUUUUCUAUAAUACUAUUUAUUAUCAUUACCAUUCUGCUCACACAAGUUUGUACUGGAAGGGGAUUUAAUUGCAUCAUUUCAUCGUUGUAUGCAGCUUCUGUCUAUGUCAAUAUUUAAUGCUUCGACAAAAAAAGCUUGCAAAAAUUUGCAUUUCUGGUUAAACUCAAAAACCCAUGGCUUUUUUUAAAGCAGAAAAUUUGACUCCAUAGUUUGCAGAUUGCUGGUUUUUCAACACGUUGCAUGUGCACCUAGUAAUUGUACAAGUCAAAUAGCCAACUACUAAAGACAGGUUUCAAGCAUUAUAUUCCUUGACAUAUAGCACAUUGUUCUUGCUUCCUUGCACUUUGUUUUCAAUUUAUUAAUGAACUAAAAGGCUAGGGAAUUCAUUCUCUUUAGGGAAAAACAAUAAGAAGAAAAACAGUAUCAAUUAUGGCAGAAUUUACAUGCUUCAAAAUCAUAUUGGAGUUGAAAUUUGCUUUCUUCUGAAAAAGAAGGCAUGGGUUGAAUGUCACAAUUGUACCUUGCAUAUGAGAAUCAAUGGCCAAAUUUCUUUCAUUUUUCUUGAUUGGAAUUGGCCCAUUUUAGAUAGUGUUCUUUUGUAGAAGCUCUUCUAGAAAGAUAGUUGUGCUUCUCUUCUCCGUUAAUACCGCCCUACUUCAGUAGAGAAGCUAUUUCAGAAGUUAGGAUGGACACUGUUGUGACCGUUUACCUUGGUUAAAUUACAAUACAAGGCCUUAACAGUAAAUCAAGUUUCAAUGUAAUCUUUCAACUAAGACAUUCAACACCCUAAACUUGUCGAAGUGCUUUACUUUACUCAUUGUUUUAGAGAAAUAAUCAUUGCCUCACUUGGUUCAUUUGUACAUUCAGUGCAGCACAAAUCCGUUUGCCCUUAAUCCAUCCCAUACUUUCAAUCAACCAUCUAAUGUUUAN
rnacentral:lncRNA from 1 species